GAUGAACGCUGGCGGCGUGCCUAAUACAUGCAAGUCGAGCGAACGGACGAGAAGCUUGCUUCUCUGAUGUUAGCGGCGGACGGGAGAGUAACACGUGGAUAACCUACCUAUAAGACUGGGAUAACUUCGGGAAACCGUAGCUAAUACCGGAUAAUAUUUUGAACCGCAUGGUUCAAAAGUGAAAGACGGUCUUGCUGUCACUUAUAGAUGGAUCCGCGCUGCAUUAGCUAGUUGGUAAGGUAACGGCUUACCAAGGCAACGAUGCAUAGCCGACCUGAGAGGGAGGACCGCCACCCUGGAACUGAGACACGGUCCAGACUCUUACGGGAGGAAGCAGUAGGGAAUCUUACGCAAUGGGCGAAAGCCUGACGGAGCAACGCCGCGUGAGUGCUGAAGGUCUUCGGAUCGUAAAACUCUGUUAUUAGGGAAGAACAUAUGUGUAAGUAACUGUGCACAUCUUGACGGUACCUAAUCAGAAAGCCACGGCUAACUACGUG
rnacentral:rRNA from 1 species